GUGCUCACUGCGACAGCACAUAUACUAAACCUGGAUCCAUCCAGAGAAGAUCAGCAUGGCUUCUGCACAAGGAUGGCACACAACUUUGUGAAGCAUUUCGUAUUUUU